rnacentral:rRNA from 1 species
GACGAACGCUGGCGGCGUGCUUAACACAUGCAAGUCGAACGGAAAGGCCCUGCUUUUGUGGGGUGCUCGAAUGGCGAACGGGUGAGUAGCACGUGAGUAACCUGCCCUUGACUUUGGGAUAACUUCAGGAAACUGGGGCUAAUACCGGAUAGGAGCUCCUGCUGCAUGGUGGGGGUUGGAAAGUUUCGGCGGUUGGGGAUGGACUCGCGGCUUAUCAGCUUGUUGGUGGGGUAGUGGCUUACCAAGGCUUUGACGGGUAGCCGGCCUGAGAGGGUGACCGGCCACAUUGGGACUGAGAUACGGCCCAGACUCCUACGGGAGGCAGCAGUGGGGAAUAUUGCACAAUGGGCGGAAGCCUGAUGCAGCAACGCCGCGUGCGGGAUGACGGCCUUCGGGUUGUAAACCGCUUUCGCCUGUGACGAAGCGUGAGUGACGGUAAUGGGUAAAGAAGCACCGGCUAACUACGUG